rnacentral:rRNA from 1 species
AUUGAACGCUGGCGGCAGGCCUAACACAUGCAAGUCGAACGCCCCGCAAGGGGAGUGGCGCACGGGUGAGUAACGCGUGGGAAUGUACCUUUUAGUUUGGGAUAACAGCGGGAAACUGCUGCUAAUACCGAAUACGCCCUUAGGGGGAAAGAUUUAUCGCUAAAAGAUCAGCCCGGGUCAGAUUAGCUAGUUGGUGGGGUAAUGGCCUACCAAGGCUCCGAUCUGUAGCUGUUCUGAGAGGAAGAUCAGCCACACUGGAACUGAGACACGGCCCAGACUCCUACGGGAGGCAGCAGUGGGGAAUAUUGGACAAUGGGGGGAACCCUGAUCCAGCCAUGCCGCGUGUGUGAAGAAGGCCUUAUGGUUGUAAAGCACUUUAAGCGAGGAGGAGGCUCUUUUGGUUAAUACCCAAGAUGAGUGGACGUUACUCGCAGAAUAAGCACCGGCUAACUCUGUGCCAGCAGCCGCAGUAA